AACGAACGCUGGCGGCAGGCUUAACACAUGCAAGUCGAGCGCCCCGCAAGGGGAGCGGCAGACGGGUGAGUAACGCGUGGGAAUCUACCCAUCUCUACGGAAUAACGCAUAGAAACGUGUGCUAAUACCGUAUACGUCCUUCGGGAGAAAGAUUUAUCGGAGAUGGAUGAGCCCGCGUUUGAUUGGCUAGUUGGUGGGGUAAAGGCCUACCAAGGCGACGAUCCAUAGCUGGUCUGAGAGGAUGAUCAGCCACACUGGGACUGAGACACGGCCCAGACUCCUACGGGAGGCAGCAGUGGGGAAUAUUGGACAAUGGGCGCAAGCCUGAUCCAGCCAUGCCGCGUGAGUGAUGAAGGCCCUAGGGUUGUAAAGCUCUUUCACCGGUGAAGAUAAUGACGGUAACCGGAGAAGAAGCCCCGGCUAACUUCGUGCCAGCCGCCGCCGUAAAAC
rnacentral:rRNA from 1 species